rnacentral:rRNA from 1 species
GAUUGUCUGAUCCUGGCUCAGGAUGAACGCUGACAGAAAUGCUUAACACAUGCAAGUCUUUGGCGAACUGUGCUUGCACAGACAAGCCAAGGCGGACGGGUGAGUAACGCGUAAAGAACUUGCCCUUCAGACAGGGAUAACAGAUGGAAACGACUGAUAAAACCUGAUAUAAUCAAGCCCACGCAUGUGCGCUUGAUGAAAAGAGAUGCUGCAGGAGAGCUUUGCGUCCUAUUAGCUUAGUUGGUGGGGUAACGGCCCACCAAGGCAAUGAUAGGUAGCCGGCCUGAGAGGGUGAACGGCCACAAGGGGACUGAGAUAUCGGCCCUUACUCCUACGGGAGGCAGCAGUGGGGAAUAUUGGACAAUGGGGGCAACCCUGAUCCAGCAAUUCUGUGUGCACGAAGAAGGUUUUCGGAUUGUAAAGUGCUUUCAGCAGGGAAGAAGAAAGUGACGGUACCUGCAGAAGAAGCGACGGCUAAAUACGUGCCACAGCCGCGGUAAUACGUAUGUCGCGAGCGUUAUCCGGAAUUAUUGGGCAUAAAGGGCAUCUA